AUUUAAUUGCAAAAGAAGACAAAAAGAAGAAAAUAAAAAAAGCAAAAGAAGAGUUGAAAAGUAAGGAAUGAGAAGGAGAGGAAUUUGGGAAAAGUUAGGCAAAGCAGGAAUGAAACGAAAAGCUCGCUAUGGAGCUGGCGUCGCGCAGUGGAAAGCACGAUGGAGAGCCCGCGUCGCCCGGUGUACAACGAGGUGGAUCAGGCGUUUUGCCUCGCGACGCGGGUGUUCCGGAUUUUAGGCCUAUUUUGUCUCAUAUUUGGUUUUGGAUUUGGUUAUUUCGUAUAGGUUUUUCCUACACAUAUAAAUAGUCAUUAAACACUAUUUUGAAAGGGGAAAAUUCGACCUAAGGAGACAAGAACACACUAGGAGCAAGAUGGCGAAUUCUUCUAUUAGUUUUUUCACUUCCGUCUUCCUAUUUUUAUUAUUGGUUAUGAAUUCUAGUAUUGUAGUUUUGCAUACUAUUAUGAAUAGUUUGGAUUAAUAUCUGAGUGACUCCUGCUUGGUAUGUAUCUCUAUAAAGUUGAUUUUUACAAUCAAAUGGAGGAUAAGCAUAUCUCUUAUGGCUGCAGGCAUACCAAGUUGAUUUUGUAGUAGUUUGCGUGGGAAGAUUCAGCCAAGUGCCAAAUAUCCCUCAAUUCCCUCCCAACAAAGGUCCACAAGCUUUAGACAUUGAAGUAAUCCAUUCAAUGGACUAUUCCAAAAUGGAUUCAACAACUGCAACUAACUUUGUCAAAGGAAAACAUGUAGCAGGCAUUGGGUCCCAGAAAUGAGGAAUGGGCAUUGCCAUUGAGUGCUCCACAGUUAAUGUUUUGCAGGGAUUGAACGUCCAUGCACAGUAGUAACCAGGACACCACAUUGGAACAUUCCGGAUUAUUUUCCAUAGGGAUUGCCUUUGGCAUAUCUCUACCUACAUUGAUUCUCCGAACUUAUGGUGCAUAAACCCGGCGAAGGCCUUCUUCUAAGUCUCCUCGCCACAACUCUUUCACCUUUGGUAAUUGUUUUCUUCGUGACUAAUUAAACUUAUAAAAAGACUCAACUAUGUGCAGCAACAAUUAGUCAUACUUUCUCAUUGAAACUAACAAAUGCAUCUGCAAACAAAGCCAAAUACUUUAAGGUUGAGUAAUGUUCAUUUCUAGCUGUGGAUUGUACAUCUCGUUCAAAACUUAACCAUUGUAGAGAAACUAAGCUACAUAUAGGUUAUAUACCUGAAUUUCAAUAGCCAAAGACUGAGAAUCUGAUUAGCUUUCUAAAUUGGAAAUGAUCUUGAAUUUUGAAGUCGUCUUAAAGUUAGAAUACAAUAGAAUUUUGAGUACAAGUGAGAACAGAGGAAAGGAGACCUCUCUGAAGCUGGCAGAAGAGGGCAUGAUGAUCCAGUAGCGAGUUUGACUAAGUCGGAUUUUAUUGGUUCAGUCUGACCCUCGAGAAUGAUACCUUCUUUCGAGAAUCCAAAGCUCUUUGCUUUCUGCAACUUGAUAUUUCCUUCCCCAACUCUAUCGUAGAAUCCCUCAUGCACUAUAGAAAUUAAACAUGAACUCAAUUCGUUUAAGAAACUAUACUCUAGCAUUGUUCCAUGUUUUGCAAGCCCGAGUUUGUAUUGUAUAUGACUUUCUACAAAUUUUGAGAAGGACCACCUCUCUAAAAUAUGAGUGAUUUCGAUUAGUACUGCAUAUUAGUUUUAUGAGAGGAAGAAUAAAAAUCACAUUGUUGUAACUUUGAGCAUAUGAGUAGUAACUUUAAGACGACUUCUAGUAACUUUGGGAUAGAUUCUAAUAUUUUGAAAAGGAAUAGUAGUUAACUUUGUCGACACAUGCUGCUCCAUUGUUGCUUCAACAACAAUAAUAUUUAUUUUUCUUGUUUCUUCACUUAACUUGCACACUUACAUGUAUUUGUGUUACGUAACAGUCAUGUAAUUUUAUUCUUAUGUUAAACUCCACUUUUUUACUUCUUUUAUCCUUUUGGGUUCCAUAGUGGUGUCAUGUAAAAAACAUUUCUUCACUUUUUUCCUUUCUUUAAACAAUUGGUGGAAUAACUUUUCAUUUCCAAAUUCAAGAUCUUUCUAGUUUAUAAAGCUACUCAGUCUUUGGUUAUUGAAAUUCAGGUAUAUAACUUAUAUGUAGCUUAGUUUCUCUACAAUGGUUAAGUUUUGAACGAGAUGUACAAUCCACAGCUAGAAAUGAACAUUACUCAACCUUAAAGUAUUUGGCUUUGUUUGCAGAUGCAUUUGUUAGUUUCAAUGAGAAAGUAUGACUAAUUGUUGCUGCACAUAGUUGAGUCUUUUUAUAAGUUUAAUUAGUCACGAAGAAAACAAUUACCAAAGGUGAAAGAGUUGUGGCGAGGAGACUUAGAAGAAGGCCUUCGCCGGGUUUAUGCACCAUAAGUUCGGAGAAUCAAUGUAGGUAGAGAUAUGCCAAAGGCAAUCCCUAUGGAAAAUAAUCGGGAAUGUUCCAAUGUGGUGUCUUGGUUACUACUGUGCAUGGACGUUCAAUCCCUGCAAAACUAGUGCAAACAGAAUCAAACUGAUGUUUAUAAACAAACAAUAAAGAGGUUCGGGUAAUGAAGGUGUAUGGAAGAUCAGUAGCAGUACUUACCAUUAACUGUGGAUGGCAAUGUCCAUUCCUGAUUUAUGGGACCCAAUGACAGACUACAUGUUUUCCUUUGACAAAGUUAGUUGCAGUCGUUGAAUCCAUUUUGGAAUAGUCCAUUGAAUGGAUUUCUUCACCGUCUACAGCUUGUGGACCUUUGUUUGGAGGGAUAUUUGGAACUUGGCUGAAUCUUCCCACGCAAACUACUACAAAAUCAACUUGGUAUACCUGCAGCCAUGAGAGAUAUGCUUAUCCUCCAUUUGAUUGUAAAAAUCAACUUUAUAGAGAUACAUACCAAGCAGGAGUCGACUCAGAUAUUAACUUAACAAUAAAUGCGUACUGAAUUGAACUUGUAAAAAUAAUUUGUAUAAGUUUUUGAAAUGGCACUCUACGGAGAACUGUUUAUGCAGCUCUCUUUGGGUUACAAACAAUCAUAUUACACACUACAUUAGAUUAGCUAUUCUAGUAAUUAUAUUAAAACAGUGUUAGUAAUA